CGCGUAGGUGGUUUGGUCAGUCAGAUGUGAAAGCCCCGGGCUCAACCUGGGAAUUGCACCUGAUACUGCCAAGCUAGAGUACGGUAGAGGGUAGUGGAAUUUCCGGUGUAGCGUGAAAUGCGUAGAGAUCGGAAGGAACACCAGUGGCGAAGGCGACUACCUGGACCGAUACUGACACUGAGGUGCGAAAGCGUGGGUAGCAAACA
rnacentral:rRNA from 1 species